rnacentral:rRNA from 1 species
GUCUAUAGCCAUACCACCCUGAACAUGUCCUUUCUCUUCUGAUCUUGGAAACUAAGCAGGGUCAUGCUUGGUUAAUACUUGGAUAGGAGAAUUCAAGGACAGUCU